CCUUUCUACGGAGUACACCUUUCAGUUUAGUGCUGAAAAAUACAACAAAAAUUAUUAAAUAUUAACGACAAAUAAUAGGUCAUGUCAUAUAUCUAGUUUUGAGAGAACUUUCUCUCUUUGUUCUUUGAAAACUGAAUAGUAAAGUAAAGAUAUUAAAUUAAUAUAACAACGACAUCAAAAAAUAAAUUAGUCAAUUUGUUUUGUGAUACCGAGUUAAUUAUUAUUCUAAAAAUAAUAAUUUAUUGAAAUGUCUUUGAAUACAUCAAACAAAUAGGUAAAUAUUGUUACAACUUU
rnacentral:misc_RNA from 1 species